ensembl:lncRNA
AGGGGCUGAAGGUAUGCAUGUUGAUCAGUAGGGGCUGAAGGUAUGCAUGUUGAUCAGUAGGGGCUGAAGGUAUGCAUGUUGAUCAGCAGGGGCUGAAGGUAUGCAUGUUGAUCAGCAGGGGCUGAAGGUAUGCAUGUUGAUCAGCAGGGGCUGAAGGUAUGCAUGUUGAUCAGCAGGGAAGCACCUAGAGGUUAAUUAAAUAGCUGUUCUUCUGCCUGGGCUAAAAUAGAUGGCUAAUGCCAGGAAGGUGUAGGACAGGUGUUUCUAGUAUAGUACGAUAGUAUCCUAGUGUUGAAGUAGUAUAGUAUACUAGUAGUACAGUAGUACAGUACCCUAGUACUACAGCAGUAUAUUACUACAGUACCCUGUACUACUAGGGUACUAUCAUUCUAUACUACUCCUAGGAUA